CCGAGUCUUGGAAUGACUUAAAUCUUACCCUGGUGCGGAUGGGAUCUCUCUCCCGCCUGGUUUCUUGCUUCCAGUCAAAAAGCAAGUGGUGGUGCCAAAU
rfam:Bacteriophage S-PM2 complete genome